AACGCACGAGACCUGCGGACCUGCGGAGGGAUCAUUAUAGAGUUUUCUAAACUCCCAACCCAUGUGAACUUACCUUUUGUUGCCUCGGCAGAAGUUAUAGGUCUUCUUAUAGCUGCUGCCGGUGGACCAUUAAACUCUUGUUAUUUUAUGUAAUCUGAGCGUCUUAUUUUAAUAAGUCAAAACUUUUAGCAACGGAUCUCU
rnacentral:misc_RNA from 1 species